AUUGAACGCUGGCGGCAUGCCUUACACAUGCAAGUCGAACGGCAGCACGGGAGCAAUCCUGGUGGCGAGUGGCGAACGGGUGAGUAAUAUAUCGGAACGUGCCCAGUCGUGGGGAUAACGUAGCGAAAGCUACGCUAAUACCGCAUACGAUCUAUGGAUGAAAGCGGGGGAUCGCAAGACCUCGCGCGAUUGGAGCGGCCGAUAUCAGAUUAGGUAGUUGGUGAGGUAAAGGCUCACCAAGCCGACGAUCUGUAGCUGGUCUGAGAGGACGACCAGCCACACUGGAACUGAGACACGGUCCAGACUCCUACGGGAGGCAGCAGUGGGGAAUUUUGGACAAUGGACGCAAGUCUGAUCCAGCCAUUCCGCGUGCAGGAUGAAGGCCCUCGGGUUGUAAACUGCUUUUGUACGGAACGAAAGGUUUCUAUUAAUACUAGGAGCUCAUGACGGUACCGUAAGAAUAAGCACCGGCUAACUACGUGCCA
rnacentral:rRNA from 1 species